AAAUUGAAGAGUUUGAUCAUGGCUCAGAUUGAACGCUGGCGGCAGGCCUAACACAUGCAAGUCGAACGGUAACAGGAAGAAGCUUGCUUCUUUGCUGACGAGUGGCGGACGGGUGAGUAAUGUCUGGGAAACUGCCUGAUGGAGGGGGAUAACUACUGGAAACGGUAGCUAAUACCGCAUAACGUCGCAAGACCAAAGAGGGGGACCUUCGGGCCUCUUGCCAUCGGAUGUGCCCAGAUGGGAUUAGCUAGUAGGUGGGGUAACGGCUCACCUAGGCGACGAUCCCUAGCUGGUCUGAGAGGAUGACCAGCCACACUGGAACUGAGACACGGUCCAGACUCCUACGGGAGGCAGCAGUGGGGAAUAUUGCACAAUGGGCGCAAGCCUGAUGCAGCCAUGCCGCGUGUAUGAAGAAGGCCUUCGGGUUGUAAAGUACUUUCAGCGGGGAGGAAGGGAGUAAAGUUAAUACCUUUGCUCAUUGACGUUACCCGCAGAAGAAGCACCGGCUAACUCCGUGCCAGCAGCCGCGGUAAUACGGAGGGUGCAAGCGUUAAUCGGAAUUACUGGGCGUAAAGCGCACGCAGGCGGUUUGUUAAGUCAGAUGUGAAAUCCCGGCUCAACCUGGGAACUGCAUCUGAUACUGGCAAGCUUGAGUCUCGUAGAGGGGGGUAGAAUUCCAGGUGUAGCGGUGAAAUGCGUAGAGAUCUGGAGGAAUACCGGUGGCGAAGGCGGCCCCCUGGACGAAGACUGACGCUCAGGUGCGAAAGCGUGGGGAGCAAACAGGAUUAGAUACCCUGGUAGUCCACGCCGUAAACGAUGUCGACUUGGAGGUUGUGCCCUUGAGGCGUGGCUUCCGGAGCUAACGCGUUAAGUCGACCGCCUGGGGAGUACGUACCGCAAGGUUAAAACUCAAAUGAAUUGACGGGGGCCCGCACAAGCGGUGGAGCAUGUGGUUUAAUUCGAUGCAACGCGAAGAACCUUACCUGGUCUUGACAUCCACGGAAGUUUUCAGAGAUGAGAAUGUGCCUUCGGGAACCGUGAGACAGGUGCUGCAUGGCUGUCGUCAGCUCGUGUUGUGAAAUGUUGGGUUAAGUCCCGCAACGAGCGCAACCCUUAUCCUUUGUUGCCAGCGGUCCGGCCGGGAACUCAAAGGAGACUGCCAGUGAUAAACUGGAGGAAGGUGGGGAUGACGUCAAGUCAUCAUGGCCCUUACGACCAGGGCUACACACGUGCUACAAUGGCGCAUACAAAGAGAAGCGACCUCGCGAGAGCAAGCGGACCUCAUAAAGUGCGUCGUAGUCCGGAUUGGAGUCUGCAACUCGACUCCAUGAAGUCGGAAUCGCUAGUAAUCGUGGAUCAGAAUGCCACGGUGAAUACGUUCCGGGCCUUGUACACACCGCCCGUCACACCAUGGGAGUGGGUUGCAAAAGAAGUAGGUAGCUUAACCUUCGGGAGGGCGCUUACCACUUUGUGAUUCAUGACUGGGGUGAAGUCGUAACAAGGUAACCGUAGGGGAACCUGCGGUUGGAUCACCUCCUUA
rnacentral:rRNA from 1 species